GAUGAAGAACGUAGCGAAAUGCGAUAAGUAAUGUGAACUGCAGAAUUCAGUGAAUCAUCGAGUCUUUGAACGCACAUUGCGCCCCCUGGUAUUCCGGGGGGCAGGCCUGUCCGAGCGUCAUUGCUGCCCUCAAGCACGGCUUGUGUGUUGGGCCGCCGUCCCCGGUUUCCCCCGGGGACGGGCCCGAAAGGCAGCGGCGGCACCGCGUCCGAUCCUCGAGCGUAUGGGGCUUUGUCACCCGCUCUGUAGGCCCGGCCGGCGCCAGCCGACACCCAACUUUAUUUCUAAGGUUGACCUCGGAUCAGGUAGGGAUACCCGCUGAACUUAAGCAUAUCAAUAAGCGGAGGA
rnacentral:misc_RNA from 1 species